GUUAUUAUGUGGUGUAUUGAAGGAAGGUUAUCCAAAGUGUAAUAUGGGUUAAACAUGUGUUAAUUGAAUAAAUGGGUAAUGGUUUGGCUAAGGGGAGGGGCUAGGCCUUUAAAAGCCUGCCAACCACAGUUUACUGGGGGUAGUCAGUCUGGAAGACAGUCAGUGUAUUUGACUGUAGGGCAUUGAUCAUGGAGAACCUUUUUGAACGAUCCUUUUGAAUAUUUGUUUUGCUUUCUUUUGGACGUCCAGUUUUUGUAUCUUGUCACUCCUUUUUUUGGAAAUAAAAGCACCUCAAUUCUUUUUGCAACUUAAGCCAUCUCGUAAUCCUUUUUUUUUAAGUCAAAGAAUCCGACUCUUUGUAACAUUUUGGCCAUCCCACCCAUUGAAAAUUGUCUUCUGCAUUUUGAACGCAUGGCAAAAACUUGGCAAUAGCCGAGGGGCCAAUGGGCCUGUCGACUAAUUCCCCCGCUGACUGGAAAAGCCUUGGAGGCCAAUACAGCUAUGGAUGAAGACAAGUCUGAUUCUUACCAGGACCUGAGGGAGGCGCUGUUGGACAAUUUUGACAUCUCUCCAGAGAUGUAUCGUCAGCGGUUUCGGGCUACUUCAGGACCACCUGGGGAGACACAAUCGGAGGCGUACCACAGGUUGAAGGGCCUCUACCGGCGUUGGAUGCGGCCGGAGCGGAGGAGCAAAGAAGAGUUGGCGGAGUCCAUCAUCUUGGAGCAGCUGCUUCUGGUGCUUCCUCCUGACACCAGGACGUGGGUGAGAGAACACGAACCCGAAGAUGGAUUAACGGCAACAAAGUUGGCCCUGCAGUACCUGAAUGCGAGGAAGGGGUCCACAUCACGUCCAGCACGAGAGGAUAUAAGGGACUUCAACCGGCCCAGGGACAGCACUCCGGGGGUCUUCGAAGCUGCUGGAAGCGAGAAAGAAUCACCUGAGGAUGAGGUGGACCUUUGGAAGUGAGACCUGAUGUCUGAUGAGGAAGACGGCAUUGUUGAAGGGGUGUCUGGAUGGAUUGUGUGACCUACGUCCUUUCGCAGCCAGGAGCUCACCGAGCUCUUUGCCACGCUGCAGUCGAGAUUACAGGCGAUUCCGAAGUACAGGGCAACGCACCACAGAUGUCUGCAAAAUGGACAGAAUUCUGACAGAAUGCCGCCAUUCACCUACAGCUCCGAGGCGGCAAACACACUUCAUGAUGCUGUAGGAUUUUCAUUUAUAUGCUAAUUAGAGCCAUCUCUCCACAUACGUCUUGGUUCGUAUCCGUCAAUAUGUGGCACAGAUGAACGCGACGUUCACAUGAACGUCAUGAAUUGUCGUUAUCUACCGAAAAUUAGGGAGAUUUCCGGGGCGCUUAAGGAAAUUAUGAAAAUCAGUGUUUUUUGGUUUUUCAACAAUGUUUUUUGGGAAAAUGUCACGAUUAAAGUCUUCAAUUGUGUGAACUGAUAGACUUUUACCGGAAACAGGAAAAAUAAUGUUGCCAUCUUACUUGCUGCUUAUUCUAUUUUACAAUGAAAUUACAUUACGUAAUUAAACACAAAGUGAAUGAAACCUUCAUACAUAACCUCGUCUGUGAACGUGAUUGCUGCUGAGUCGCAUCAGAUCGAUGUUCACUG
ensembl:lncRNA